GGCUUACACAUGCAAGUCGAGGGGCAGCGGGGGUAGCAAUACCCGCCGGCGACCGGCGCACGGGUGAGUAACGGGUAUGCAAUCUGCCUCCGAAAGCGGGAUAACCCGGAGAAAUCCGGACUAAUACCGCAUGUUGCGACGUUGCCGCAUGGCGACAUCGCUAAAGAUUCAUCGAUCGGAGAUGAGCAUGCUUUCCAUUAGCUUGUCGGUAGGGUAACGGCCUACCGAGGCAUCGAUGGAUAGGGGAACUGAGAGGUUUGUCCCCCACACCGGUACUGAGACACGGACCGGACUCCUACGGGAGGCAGCAGUGAGGAAUAUUGGUCAAUGGGCGAAAGCCUGAACCAGCCAAAUCGCGUGAAGGAUGAAGGUAUUAUGUAUCGUAAACUUCUUUUUCGGGAGAACAAAUGACGGGACGUGUCCCGUUUUGCGCGUAUCCCGCGAAUAAGCAUCGGCUAACUCCGUGCCAGCAGCACGCGGUAAUACGGAGGACACGAGCGUUAUCCGGAUUUAUUGGGUUUAAAGGGUGCGUAGAGCGGUUUAUUAAGUCAGUAGUGAAAUGUUGCAGCUUAACUGUUAAAUGGCUAUUGAUACUGAUAAGCUGGAGUGAGAUUGGAGUAGCUGGAUGUGUGGUGUAGCGGUGAA
rnacentral:rRNA from 1 species